AAACUAUCAAAAUAGUAUAAAAACAAACGAGAAAAUCGAAAAUAAUAAUUAAUUAAAAAUUACAAGUUUGUGGUGAUACUCUUUGCUUUAUAUUCGUAUUCGUUGACGCGGAAACCUUUUAUCGCGUUAUUCAGCACUGUUGUCAUUUUUCGGCUUGAUUGUCGGGCGGUAAAUCGUUCUAUCUACUUUAACCAAUCACUGAUUCUAAUUACUCCAGCUACUUAAGGCAGAGAAUACAAAAUAAGUUUGCUAGGGGCUCAGCAUUACUACAUAUUUUUUUAUUCAACAAAAAUCCAAGCAGUCCAGCCCAGCCCAGAUCACUUGAAGUUUUCGGAACACUGAGGGAACGUAAUUUGACUGUCUGUCAACUCGAAGCAACUUACUCUCUCUCUACACGAAGAGAAGGCAAUCACACAAUUCAACCUCUGAUUCGCGAAGAAUAUUGUUACAUCACUCUCUAAUACCGUGAAAUAUCUUGUAUGGACUUCGAAUUGAAUAAAAACUCGCUGUACUUGAUGUCUCCAUACUGUGAAAAAUUGAAGGUUACAAAGAAGUAAUCAUAUUAUCUAUUGGAACACAAGAGAGUACCAUUGGACUUCUCACCAUGUCAUGAAUAUUGGUCCAAAGUCAAAGUUAUUGGUGGACUCCGUGCUAAUAUUCAUUGAGAUAUGACGUUGGAUCGAAAUUGGCAAUAGACUUGAGGAGAGCAUUUGUGCACAUCUUCAAAAAGGACGAAUAAUAUAAAAAUCAUAAAAGGAAACUAGUGGAAUAUAUCUUUAUCUGCCUCUUUCAUCGAUUUUCUAGUAAUACGAGUUCAAAAAUCUACUUAAUUUAAACUUCGUAAAUAUAUAAUCAACAAACUAUCAAUGGAGAAAAAGUUGUUCGCGACGAGACCCCUGACUAUAGUACAGAAAAGCUAGUGAGCCCUCCAUACAAAAAUACAUCUAGUUUUGGUAAUUACAAUACUUAAAAAGGUCAGAUAAAACCGGGAAAGAUCGAAAUCGGCCGAAAUGAGAGUUUGAGUAAUAUUAUUAUAUACUUAACGAGUUCAACGAAAGAGGUUUGUUGCUCUCAACAAUAUUUAGUUUCACCAAUAAAAUAGAAACGGCAUUAGGAUAAUCAACUUCACGUAUUUGAUUUAGAAAAUUAAUGAAGUCAAAAUAGUUUAAAAAAAUUAGACCAUCCUAUAACAUAAAGUAAUCUGGCAAGGGAAAAUUUAAAUUAAUUUAAAAUGAAGCUAAAGGCUAAUAUAACGGGUUUGAGAUUACUCUGAUUCAAUCCAGCAAUUGAUGAAAGCAUAGAGCUAUCUUAUAUUGUAUAAUAUAAAGUAUAUUUCUAAAUUGAAAAAAGUCCUGUUGAGAAGUUAGAAGAACAUUUAAAGUUAGUAAAAUUAUUUUCAAAAUUUUGAUAUCCUAAAGCUUCGCGUUUAUUUUUUUUCGGACAAUGGUGGUAGAAAGGGGUUUUAAGAGGGCCCUGAAAACAUUGCUACUGAAUAAAAAACUUUCGAAUUCCUACCAAAAAUGUAAAGAAAAAUACAUCACAGAGUUCCUUAUGUUCUUAAUGAAUCAUAAUAAUUUCGAAAUUUUUAUAACACACAUUUAUAGCCACAUUUCUCUUACCGUUCCUAAGCAUGGGUCUGCUACUUUCAAAUACUUAAUCUUCUUGCUUUUUAUUCCCUAUUUGUACCCAUGCGUGUUUCAUCAAAAUAAUAAAAACCGGUUAUUAGUCAGUUAGCCUUUCAUUGGCAAUUUAUGUUUCGUAUUCAGUGAAAUGAUAAAGAAACAGUAAAAGUCGUUGCGGUUAAAUCUUACUUAUUUUAGCAUAAAUUACAAUAUUCGCUUUGCCACUUAAAUUCUGAGCGUUAGUCAGAUCAUUAACCGAACACAGCAAAAACGAAUAAUAAAAUACUAAUGAGCUACAAACUAAGCUAAUUCUCGUAUACUAAAUAUAUCAGAACAACUGUUAAACUCUAUGUGUAAAAUAGCAAAGUAAUUUGUGUACCGUUCUUUUCUAAUUUAUAUGCCCCAAGCUCUAAUGAGAUUUUAGUAUUACAAAUUUAUAGGCCAACAUACAUCUAUGUAUGCUUGACAUCUAGUGGCAUAAUUAAAUUUAUAUAUUCACCUGUUUCCUCACACCGGGAAAUAU